rnacentral:tRNA from 1 species
AUUAAGAUGGCAGAGCCCGGUAAAUGCGAAAGGCCUAAGCCCUUUUACUCAGGGGUUCAAAUCCCCUUCUUAAU